GCAGCCUGCCUAGGUCGGGGGGGCCCGGGGACCUGGCCACUGGGCAGGCUCACAGCCGCGGUGCGGGAGAGCGACUGCGGUAGGGAAUGGGAGAAGCCUGCUUCCCGCCUCACUUUUCAGGGCUCACAGACAGCCUCAGUCAGGCCUCAUGCCCACCCCCACCCCAUCAUGCGCCUGAAUGUGUUCUAAACUGAGCCAAAUAAGGAGCCCACCACCAGACUGGGGGCACGUACCUGCAAGCUUAGAGGAGGCCCAGGCAGGGCCCCACGACGCACAAGGCCCUGAAGCUUUGCCGGGAGCUGCUGCUGGCGGAAUCCAGAGGCCUCUAACCACCUCCCCGGGGGCGGGGGGGUGGGGGAUGUGAGGCCUCUGGGGUCUCUCCCGCCUCACCCUGGCUGUCUGGCUGAGAACCUAGGAGAGACAGAAGUACCAUGCUGGCAGCCCCAGGGAUGGGCAGAGGAAGAUCUGCUCCUUGCAGGGUGAGGCCCCAGCUGGUCUGUGUUGAGGACGGAAGCUGCCUGUAAGAGCUGGACGUUCCGCCGGGCUGGAGAGACCCUCCCUGUAGGAAGCUAAGAUGGGGGAUGCUGUCAGGAACUCUGGGGCUCAGCGGGCUGCUCUGUGGCAGCCGAGCGGGAGGUGUUCAGAGGCCUCUGGAUUCUGCCAGCAGAAGGUCUCGGGCAGGACUGCCCUGGUGGCACAGUGGUUAAGAAUCCGCUUGCCGGGCUUCCCUGGUGGCGCGGUGGUUGAGAGUCAGCCUGCCGAUGCAGGGGACACGGGUUCAUGCCCCGGUCCGGGAGGAUCCCACAUGCCGCGGAGCGGCUGGGCCCCUGAGCCAUGGCCGCUGAGCCUGCGCGUCCGGAGCCUGUGCUCCGCAACGGGAGAGGCCACAGCAGUGAGAGGCCCGCGUACCGCAAAAAAAAAAAAAAAAAAUCUGCUUGCCAACCCAGGGGACACGGGUUUGAGCCCUGGCUCGGGAAGAUCACACAUGCCACAGAGCAACUAAGCCUAUGCGCCACAACUACUGAGCCCUGCGCUCUAGAGACCGCGAGACACAACUACUGAGCCCGCGCGCCACGACUACUGAAGCUUGCGCGCCUAGAGCCUAUGCUCCGCAACAAGAGAAGCCACGACAAUGAGAAGCCGCGCACCACAACAAAGACCCAGCACAGCCAAAAAAAUAAUAAAAUUAAUUAAUUAAUUAUUUUAAAAAGGUCUUGGGCAGCCUGGUAGGGAGGUGAGAUCCAUGGCUUUAGGGGUAUUCAAGAGCAGGUAAUGUUUUUGAUGAAAACCAUGAAUACUGUGUCAGUUAUUUCUCCAACCGCAACAUCACCUCACCUAUCUUUUAAAAUUUUUUUAGAAUGAGUAGGUUUUACUUUAAUAAUACAAACAAUCUCUCUCUCUCUCUCUCUCUCUCUCUCUCUCUCUCUCUCUAUAUAUAUAUAUAUAUAUAUAGUUGAGCAAGUGGGAUGACCUCUUAGUGUGAAACAUUGUUUGUUUUUUUUUAUAAAUGUAUUUAUUUUUGGCUGCAUUGGGUCUUCGUUGCUGUGCUCGGGCUUUCUCUAAUUGCGGCGAGCGGGGGCUACUCUGCGGUGCACAGGCUUCUCUUUGCGGUAGCUUCUCUUGUUGCAGAGCACAGGCUCUAGGUGCACGGGCUUCAGUAGUUGCAGCAUGCGGGCACAGUAGUUGUGGCUCGAGGGCUCUAGAGCACAGGCUCAGUAGUUGUGGCUCACGGGCUUAGUUGUUCCAUGGCGUGUCAGAUAUUCCCGGACCAGGGCUCAAACCCAUGUCCCCUGCAUUGGCAGGCGGAUUCUUAACCACUGUGCCACCAGGGAAGUCCCGAAGCAUUGUUUAGUCACUUGGCCAUCAUAUCACGAGUGCCUACUAACUGGUCACGUACAGAGAUGAAACAGACAUGUCACUCCCUCACCCUAAACUCUUCCACGGCUCCCUGUUGCCUAGAGAACAAAGCCGAACUCCUGGGCCCAGCAUUCAAGACCCUCCAUAAUCUGGCCCAGCCUCUCUCUCCAGCCUUGAGCAUUGCCUUCCAUUGGCAUUAAACCACAUUCUUGACUCCCGUCCCCACCCUAAUGGCCAUGUGUUGGUGUUCUCUAUGCUGCUUGCCUGCAGUGCCUUCCAAGCACCUUCACCAACAAACUCCUGUUCUUUUCCAUAAGGCUGAGGUCCCCUCUAGGAAGCCUUCCCUGACUGCCCCCUCCUCCAGCCCCACAGCUUUCAGGCAUCCUCCAUGACCAUUGGAGUCUUGGCUCGUCCCUCCAAAGGUUUGAAGGGCAGAGCCAUGUCAAGCCUCUCUCAGGGUCUUUCCUGAGGUUGGGCUCAGGCUCAUGGCAGGGGGACAUCCAUGUGGCUUUGCAGAGGCCUCAAGAAGUUCCCAUGAGUCCAUGCAGAGCUGAGGGCCCAGAGGGACCAGCUCUGUACCCCUCUCUCUGGGAGCAUCAGUUAGGGAUCCCUGGACCCUCGGCCACCCUGGACACCUUCUAACCCAAAGAAUCAGGCCGGGCCAGAGCAGCUUCAGCCAGCUCUGCAGGAGUGCAGGUGUACAGGCCUUCUCAGAGGACCCCACCCUGGCAUGGUGGUCAGGGCCCUCCAAGGAUGGGAGAACGCUCAGAUGUUCCUGGCAUCCUUGUCUCCGAGAAGGUGGGCAGGGAGGGACAGAGAGGGGACACAGAGGUUUGGGGUUGACUUUUUUCUCUUUCACAUUCUAGUAAGGACCCUCCAUGCAUUGGCCAGGAUGGUUGUGGGCUGUACCUCGCUGAGCCCUCCCCUCACUAAGGCUGCCCCACACCCAGCCUCUUAAUGCAGCAAGCUCUACACCAGGCAGGAUCCACCAGCCAGAAAUAACAGGAGCAUCCUCGAGGAUGUGUUUACAGAUGUUUUUGUCCGGAGGCUGGGGAAGAAGAUGAGGACCCAUUCCUUUAUUGGGGGGCAGCAAGUGGCGCAGCAGGAGCACAAGGCAGGUUUGCUAUCGGUUAUUUAAUGAACCUUCCCGGCUGGCCAGGCACAGGCGAGCAAGGCAGUAGCUUUUCCAGCAGCUCUGGGGUGGGGGAAUGAUUCCCCCUUGCUGCUGUAUCAAUAUUCAGCUUCUUGUUUACAUGUUCA